GUGGAGUGUGCCUGCCCACAGCACAAACCUGUCAUAAGGAAGACUGAGGGCAUGCUGGAGUCAGCUAGGUGACCGGACAGAGCAGCCCACAGACCUGGGCCAGCCACGAGCGGCUGCUGUGAGCCCUAGAAGCAGAAGGAGCAAGAAGGCAGACGCUUGCCAGGCACCUAAGUCAGACAGCUAAGUCAGGAGAAAGGGGUUUGUGAGGAGGGCAGAUGGGGAAGAAAGCCUUCACACACAUUCAGCAGCUGACAGGUUGAGGUGUAGUGACAGAGAAUAGAAAAGGAGUGGCUAAUAAAAUAGGGUCUGUUUCCUUAGAAUACAGCCCAGAAAAGGAGCCAGACUCACAGUGGGGCAGCACCUGAGGCAGGCGCCCGCCCCUCCCUGCAGGUGUGGGCAGAGAAGGGGCAGUGCAGAGGAGAAGUCACCACGCCUGGGACUCAGGAAGGCUCUGCCCAGGAAAGCAGGGGGAGUUCUGCUGUAGAGGAUGAGAAAGGAUUUUCUAGAUGUAAACGUGAAGGCUAAGUGUGUUCUUGGCAUAAAUCAAUGAAAGGAAAACACACACCUGGGGCAUGAUGAGAAUUUCAGGGUGACUGGAAGAGGGGUGUUAUGUGGGGAAAGGAGGGGGAUGGGAUGGGAUACAUGGAGAGAGGAGAUUCACGGGGAGUCUGGGUCAAGACUGUGAAGCACAAAAUGAAGUCCUGUGGCAUUUGGAUUGGCUUCUGUGGAACAUGGCUUGUAUGUAUGUGUGUGUGUGCGUGUGUGUGCACAGACAUGCAUGUAUGUGAUUGUAUUGAUGCUUAUUUCAUUAACUGAGAAUGAGAAUAGAGAUGGAGGAGCAGACUCAGAGGGAAAGGUAACGAUUUCAAUUUGGGGCACCUUCCAUUUGAAAUGCUUUGGACCCUCCAUGCAGACAUGACCAGAAUCCAGAUGGAAUCAAAAGUGUAAGGGAGUCUUUAACAAAAUAAAACCCAGAGCAGUCCAGGCUGGCACAGGCAAGGGAGUGUCCAGGUGGGAGGGGCAGCCGGAGCCCAGGACUGAGUCAGCUCCCCUGGGAGGAGCACCCUUCUCACUUGAACCUGGUUGUGCCCACAGCAAUAUUUCUCGUUUUCCACAUCACUCUACAGCGCGGCUAAGAACAGCCCGGAUUAUCUGAACAGACAUAAUCCAAGGCACGUGAAACGAUGGUAGUAAGGGGCGUCUGAGACUCAAUAACCACAGGUCUACAUACUCUCCCCUUACAGAUCCCUUGUAACCGGUGUCUGAGAAGACAGGGACUUCACAACCUACGUGACCAUGGAAUGGAUUUUUCAAGUAACAGGCAGAAACCGUUGGGUAGAGGGAUAACGAAAGAUCUGCAGAGAAAGGAGAAUCUAGACUGCAAAAUAGAAGUGUCUUUUCAAGACACACAGGUGUUACCCCAACUUCUGCUUAUUAGCCCUCCUCGAGUGCAGUUAACUCUCCGAAUGCAACACCAUGGUUUGACUUGUCCACUAUUUUCCAAGACUUUCGGUACAGCAGCAGAGGCCUCAUUUGAUUCUACUAGGUUCUGGAACUCGGAAAGAUCUUGCAGCUGGAAGUUCGGGUCGGGAGCCAUCAGCUUAGAGAGGCAGUUAAAACCUAUUGAAGUUAUAAAUCCCCCAGCUCAGGGAGGGAGGGAUUGGAAGAGAGACAAGCUCAGAACCUCAAGGAGGACAAACAUGACGUUUCUGCAAAAGGAGCCUUCUAGGUCCUUUCAUUAGACACAAGACUGUGAUAGGAGAGAGUGAAGAGAAGAUAAUGGAUGGACACAGAAUGAGUGGGACAACUGCCUUGCCUUGUCCAACCCUCCCCAUGCGCUGAGGGAUCCAUGGCCCACACUGCACUUGUGUGCACACGGAUGGCUUAUGAUCACUAGAAAUGACAUGUUACCUGUCUAAUGCAUCAUAUUAAUAGCUGGUAACAAAGUAACGCUACAUGAUUUUCCCUGUUAAUAUAAUAACACUUCAACUUUUAAGAAAUGCAUAUCUUUUCUCUCUCUAACAGUUAAGACAUCUUGCAAACAAAACAAAAGAAUACAGAUAAACACCAAAUGAAAAAUCCAGUGGAAUGGAAAGCAGGACAAAGCAGCUGUGUGUGUAAAUUAAACACCAAACGUUAAGCUUUGUGGCCGCCGUGGGGAAGCGGGACACACGGUGCGGCCUCUACCAUGUGAGACAGGGGAGCAGGUGGCAACUCCCGAGAGGAGAAGAAGGCUUUUCUCCUCUGCUACUCCCAGCCCUGAAGAUUCGGAUGCUAAAUUGGACAAUCUUAUCGCAACAAUUUCACAACAAAUGCAUAAAUAGUAUUCAUUUGCAAGUAGCUUGAAGCAAUUUUUAAUAAGAAUCAGACAUAAUAUUAAGGCAUAAUUUCAUUACAGUGUUAUUUUUAUCUGGUCAUUGAUUGGGUCCAAAGGUGGAACUUAGAAUAUCUCCAUUAGAGCGUCCUUUAGGUUCUCUUCCUCAGCGUCAUUUUCCUGAAAGCAGGCUUCGGAUAGCAGCUGGAUGGCAGAAGAUGACAGUCGCGGUCCUAGCGAGGAACACAGAUUCCUUUAAUCACAGGUUGGGGACAGACACAUAAAUGUGAGCUGCCACAUAAGCACAGGUGGAGUUAAUUCUUCCCUUAAAAAGUUCGGGAACCCACAGCAAGGCUACCUUCUGAGGCCCAACGGUGGGCUAUGGGGGCAGCUGAUUGCAAAACCAUAAUUUUUCUCACAUAGCAGUGCGGGGUCUGUCCCAGAACAGGAACUCACAUUCCGUGGGGAAUUCAGAGUUCUCUGAGGCAGAGCAGUGCUUCUGUCCAGGUUGUCUCCCGGCCACCUCCGUCACUGCUACCUGGAGUCCUUGCAAGGAAAGCGGACACCUGGACCCUACUCCACACCUGCUGAAUGAGAAUAUUAACACCCAGCUGCCUGAAAGAUUCAGGGGUCUGUGGUUUAACACGCUC
rnacentral:lncRNA from 1 species